rnacentral:rRNA from 1 species
UACAAGCAGUGGGAGCACAGGUUUACCUGUGUGACUGCGUACCUUUUGUAUAAUGGGUCAGCGACUUAUAUUCUGUAGCAAGGUUAACCGAAUAGGGGAGCCGGAGGGAAACCGAGUCUUAAUUGGGCGUUAAGUUGCAGGGUAUAGACCCGAAACCCGGUGAUCUAGCCAUGGGCAGGUUGAAGGUUGGGUAACACUAACUGGAGGACCGAACCGACUAAUGUUGAAAAAUUAGCGGAUGACCUGUGGCUGGGGGUGAAAGGCCAAUCAAACCGGGAGAUAGCUGGUUCUCCCCGAAAGCUAUUUAGGUAGCGCCUCGUGAACUCAUCUCCGGGGGUAGAGCACUGUUUCGGCUAGGGGGCCAUCCCGGCUUACCAACCCGAUGCAAACUGCGAAUACCGGAGAAUGUUAUCACGGGAGACACACGGCGGGUGCUAACGUCCGUCGUGAAGAGGGAAACAACCCAGACCGCCAGCUAAGGUCCCAAAGUCAUGGUUAAGUGGGAAACGAUGUGGGAAGGCCCAGACAGCCAGGAUGUUGGCUUAGAAGCAGCCAUCAUUUAAAGAAAGCGUAAUAGCUCACUGGUCGAGUCGGCCUGCGCGGAAGAUGUAACGGGGCUAAACCAU